rnacentral:rRNA from 1 species
UACAGAGGUCUCAAGCGUUGUUCGGAUUCAUUGGGCGUAAAGGGUGCGUAGGCGGCGCGGUAAGUCGGGUGUGAAAUCUCGGAGCUUAACUCCGAAACUGCAUUCGAUACUGCCGUGCUUGAGGACUGGAGAGGAGACUGGAAUUUACGUGUAGCGGUGAAAUGCGUAGAUAUCGUAAGGAAGACCAGUGGCGAAGGCGGGUCUCUGGACAGUUCCUGACGCUGAGGCAGCGAAGGUCAGGGGGAGCAAACGGG